UCCCUGGUGGUCUAGUGGUCAGGAUUCGGCGAUUUCACCGCCGUUCCCUGGGUUCAAUUCCCGGCCAGGGAA